rnacentral:tRNA from 1 species
GUUUUUAUAGUUUAAUAAAAACAUUGGUCUUGUAAACCAAAAUUAAGUAACAAACUUUAAAAACU